rnacentral:rRNA from 1 species
AUACGGAGGAUGCGAGCGUUAUCCGGAUUUAUUGGGUUUAAAGGGUGCGUAGGCGGGCUGUCAAGUCUGUGGUGAAAAGUCAGGGCUUAACCUUGAUCGUGCCGCGGAAACUGACGGUCUUGAGUAGGGAUGCCGUUAGCGGAAUGGGGAGUGUAGCGGUGAAAUGCAUAGAUAUUCCACAGAACACCGAUUGCGAAGGCAGCUGACGAAUCCCCGAUUGACGCUGAUGCUCGAAGGUGCGGGAAUCAAACAGGAUUAGAUACCCUGGUAGUCCGCACGGUAAACGAUGAUUACCCGCUGUCGGCGGUAGACAGUCGGCGGCCAAGCGAAAGCGAUAAGUAAUCCACCUGGGGAGUACGCCGGCAACGGUGAAACUCAAAGGAAUUGACGGGG